CCUACGGGGGGCAGCAGUGGGGAAUAUUGGACAAUGGGGGCAACCCUGAUCCAGCCAUGCCGCGUGUGUGAAGAAGGCCCUCGGGUUGUAAAGCACUUUCAGUGAGGAAGAACGCCUGGUGGUUAAUACCCAUCAGGAAAGACAUCACUCACAGAAGAAGCACCGGCUAACUCCGUGCCAGCAGCCGCGGUAAUACGGAGGGUGCGAGCGUUAAUCGGAAUUACUGGGCGUAAAGCGCGCGUAGGUGGCUUGAUAAGCCGGUUGUGAAAGCCCCGGGCUCAACCUGGGAACGGCAUCCGGAACUGUCAAGCUAGAGUGCAGGAGAGGAAGGUAGAAUUCCCGGUGUAGCGGUGAAAUGCGUAGAGAUCGGGAGGAAUACCAGUGGCGAAGGCGGCCUUCUGGACUGACACUGACACUGAGGUGCGAAAGCGUGGGUAGCAAACAGGAUUAGGUACCCCGGUAGUC
rnacentral:rRNA from 1 species